GCAUAUCAAUAAGCGGAGGAAAAGAAACCAACCGGGAUUGCCCCAGUAACGGCGAGUGAAGCGGCAAGAGCUCAAAUUUGAAAUCUGGCCCCUCCGGGGUCCGAGUUGUAAUUUGCAGAGGAUGCUUCGGGUGCGGCCCCUGUCUAAGUGCCCUGGAACGGGCCGUCAGAGAGGGUGAGAAUCCCGUCUUGGGCAGGGUGCCCGUGCCCGUGUGAAGCUCCUUCGACGAGUCGAGUUGUUUGGGAAUGCAGCUCUAAAUGGGUGGUAAAUUUCAUCUAAAGCUAAAUACCGGCCGGAGACCGAUAGCGCACAAGUAGAGUGAUCGAAAGAUGAAAAGCACUUUGAAAAGAGAGUUAAACAGCACGUGAAAUUGUUGAAAGGGAAGCGCUUGCGACCAGACUCGGCCUCGGGGUUCAGCCAGCAUUCGUGCUGGUGUACUUCCCCGGGGCCGGGCCAGCGUCGGUUCGGGCGGCCGGUCAAAGGCCCCAGGAAUGUAUCGUCCUCCGGGACGUCUUAUAGCCUGGGGUGCAAUGCGGCCAGCCUGGACCGAGGAACGCGCUUCGGCACGGACGCUGGCGUAAUGGUCACAAACGACCCGUCUUGAAACACGGACCAAGGAGUCUAACAUCUACGCGAGUGUUCGGGUGUCAAACCCGUACGCGCAGUGAAAGCGAACGGAGGUGGGAGCCCCUUUGGGGCGCACCAUCGACCGAUCCUGAAGUCUUCGGAUGGAUUUGAGUACGAGCGUAGCUGUGGGGACCCGAAAGAUGGUGAACUAUGCCUGAAUAGGGUGAAGCCAGAGGAAACUCUGGUGGAGGCUCGCAGCGGUUCUGACGUGCAAAUCGAUCGUCAAAUUUGGGUAUAGGGGCGAAAGACUAAUCGAACCAUCUGGUAGCUGGUUCCUGCCGAU
rnacentral:rRNA from 1 species